GUCUCGAGUUAGGACAUGUGUGGAGUCCUGGUGAGCUCUAGAGAAUAAACGACUGCUAAGAAGGCAGCUGGGGCACCCACUCAUCCAUGACCAUCCAAGGGAAAAUCUUAUUAGAAUGAGGUCGUCUUUCCCCUCAAAACAACCAAGACAGAAAAUGGCAGGUGAAUUGGAAUUGCACUCCCACCUUGCAAUGUGUGGAUGAGAUUUGAUUUCUCUCCACCGUGUGUGGUGGGCCUCGGGCACCCAAGGCUGGCGUCCACACUGAUGUAGACUGAAGACCCCAAUAGGAAGAUGGUUGAGGCCUGGGAACUGGGCACCUCCUACAAGGAACUGCUGAUAAAACAAACCUUCGUUAGGGCACAGAUAAAUCUCAUCUUUAAUCUGGAUGCACAGAAAUGUCUCAUGCAAAGGAAAGGAAGCCCCCUAUGCCACCCCAUGACAUCCAUAUAAAUCACAGGUUUUAUUUCUCUGCUGUGAGGGGGCACUGCAGAAUGGAGCAACGUUGCAGACUCUCAUUGGGUGAUGUCGUGCAUCAGGAUUAGCGCCUCAAUUUAUCGCCGGCUCAAGCUCCACACAUGCUCCAUGACAGGGUGUUGUCCGCAUCCCCGAAAGUUCCAGGAAGGAGACAGUGUUUGCUGAGUGGUGGGCUUUAGAUAUUCAGCAGUGUGGUUGGCUUUUAUGGGCUGAGAAUGUGUGUGAGUGUGAGCGCAUGCGUGCUCGUGCAUGCUGGUGUUGGGCCUGGGGCACUGUGUUGUUUGAAAGGCGCAGGGAACAGACACUUUGUACUCAGAUGCAUCAAUUUCCAACGGCAGCAGAAUGCUGUUUCUGGUUGAAAGAGAAAGAAGAAAGCGAAAUCUUCAUUUCAGCUUAGGAAUGGGGUCCACAUGUUUAGCUCAAAGUGAGUGGAAAUCUCUGAAAAGCAGGUUUGGGCUAAUGAAUGUCAGCAGGCCUUCAAUGUAAAUGGGAUUUGAUUAGCAGGAAGGAGUGUGGUUGGGAUGUUUCCAUUACCAAAGAAUGAUAUAGAGGGGCAAGGCUUGUCUUAAGGGGAUGAAGAAGGUCCCUCCAACUGCCCAAGUAGAUCCUUUUCCAGUAGGCUUUCAGACGCUCAGAAAACAUGGGGCUGACCUUGGCUUCUACCACAUGCCAUGGGGCACGAGACCAUUGUUCCAGACAAGUAAACCUGAGGUGGGGGGAGGUGGCAGAGCUGCGACUGGACACCACGAAUGAAAUAUUCUACAAUACAAAACAUGCCACAUCAGUCCUCAACAUUGCCUUGCCUCUAUGCCCCUCAUUUUAAAGAUGACAAAACUGAGGACCACAGAGGUCAAUAUCCCAGAGUCUGGAACUCUUCAUCCUUGGAGAAUCCAGGUCUUCUGCUUCUGGAAUCCUUCUUCUUUGGGCAUUCUUUUAACUGGUAGCAACUCAUGUCUUGCCAGUCUUGUCUCUGGCUCCCCUACUCUGUUUUUCUUCAAGAUUAAGGGUUUAAAUGAUAUCUAAAGUAGGACCUACCUAGAAAAAAGACCUACAUAAAAUUCCUUUUAGAUUGAUAUGGGGAAGCAAACAAAGGAACUUACAAAUAUACUCUCUUAGGCUAUUAUUUUAAAUAAGCAACGGUUGCUCAGGAGCACUAAUGGGAAACCGUAAAAAAACCUUUUUAUUUUGAAAUAAAUUCAAAUCCACAUAGAAAUUUCAAAAAUAGUGCCAAGAGUUCCUGUAAAUUUUUCUUCAGCUUCCCUCACUUUACCGUGUUUGCUUUAUCCUUCUCUCUCUCUCUCUCUCUGUGUGUGUGUGUGUGUGUGUGUGUGUGUGUGUGUGUGUUUUAUUUCUUUUCUGAAUGGCUUGGGAGUACACUGUACACAUUCUACCACUUUAUCCCUAAAUACAUCAGUACACAUUUCCUAAAUUCAUUUACACAACCACAGUACAGUUAUGAAAUCCAAGAAAUUAACAUUGCUAUAGUAUUAUUCUCUAAUUUAUAGACCUUGUUUGAACUUCAGUAAAUGUCCUACUAAUGUCCUUUCUAGCAAAAAAAAAAAAUUGUUUUCCACUUACUUUGGGAUUGUGUGAAACUCGUGUCUCAUUUAUGGGGACUUACGUGAGAGGGUUGAGUGUGCUGAAGUUUUAGGCUGUUAAACUAAAAAGUAAACAUUACCUUAAAAAUACGUGUAUGUUAUAUCUAUAGUAUCUUCACCUUGAUAAUUCUUCUUUGAUAAUUAUGAUUAAAUGUCAUAAUGGGAAAAUUCAAAACCUUUAUAUCUGUGAACCAAAAAAUAAAACCAGAUUCUGCAUUCCUCGUGCAUUUCAAUUUGGUGUAAGUCUCUUCAAUAUCUGCUUGCUUGCUAGCUGUGCCUUUCUACUUGCCUGCUCACAAGAUUUCUGAAAGUCUUGGUGAUGGUUUUGGCUCUGAAUCCAGACUGAGUAAAACAAAAGUCCAAAGCGUGUUUUGGCAAAGUGUGGUUAGCAAGGGUGAUUGGUCUACAAGUGCGUUUCAGUGAUG
rnacentral:lncRNA from 10 species